rnacentral:tRNA from 1 species
UGGAUAUUAGUUAACAUCAUAACAAUUAAUUUGCAUUUAAUAAUUAUUAAAUUUUAAUAUAUCUAA